UGGAGAGUUUGAUCCUGGCUCAGGACGAACGCUGGCGGCGUGCUUAACACAUGCAAGUCGAACGGAAAGGUCUCUUCGGAGAUACUCGAGUGGCGAACGGGUGAGUAACACGUGGGCAAUCUGCCCUGCACUUCGGGAUAAGCCUGGGAAACUGGGUCUAAUACCGGAUAGGACCACUUGGCGCAUGCCUUGUGGUGGAAAGCUUUUGCGGUGUGGGAUGGGCCCGCGGCCUAUCAGCUAGUUGGUGGGGUGAUGGCCUACCAAGGCGACGACGGGUAGCCGGCCUGAGAGGGUGUCCGGCCACACUGGGACUGAGAUACGGCCCAGACUCCUACGGGAGGCAGCAGUGGGGAAUAUUGCACAAUGGGCGCAAGCCUGAUGCAGCGACGCCGCGUGGGGGAUGACGGCCUUCGGGUUGUAAACCUCUUUCAGCAGGGACGAAGCGCAAGUGACGGUACCUGCAGAAGAAGCACCGGCCAACUACGUGCCAGCAGCCGCGGGGUA
rnacentral:rRNA from 1 species